rnacentral:rRNA from 1 species
UACGAAGGGGGCUAGCGUUGUUCGGAAUUACUGGGCGUAAAGCGCGCGCAGGCGGUUCUUCAAGUCAGAGGUGAAAGCCCAGAGCUCAACUCUGGAAUGGCCUUUGAGACUAGAGAACUAGGGUACGGGAGAGGUGAGUGGAAUUCCGAGUGUAGAGGUGAAAUUCGUAGAUAUUCGGAAGAACACCAGUGGCGAAGGCGGCUCACUGGCCCGUUACCGACGCUCAGGCGCGACAGCGUGGGGAGCGAACAGG